rnacentral:rRNA from 1 species
UACGUAGGGGGCUGGCGUUGUCCGGAAUCACUGGGCGUAAAGCGCGCGUAGGUGGCCCUGUAAGUCCGUUGUGAAAGUCAAAGGCUCAACCUUUGAAAGCCGAUGGAUACUGCAGGGCUAGAGUACGGAAGAGGCGAGUGGAAUUCCUGGUGUAGCGGUGGAAUGCGCAGAUAUCAGGAGGAACACCAAUAGCGAAGGCAGCUCGCUGGGACGUUACUGACACUGAGGCGCGAAAGCGUGGGGAGCGAACAGG